rnacentral:lncRNA from 1 species
CUGUAUAUUUUUUAUUAAGGUUAUUUGAUUCAAACGUAGGGUUAUCAUGUUAUUUUUAAUAAUGGCAUAUGUGGGUAAUAUAGAUGCAAAUUUAACGGGUUACUUUAAGUUUUUAAGUAAUAGUGGUGGGCAAUUCGGUUGCAAAUUAGGGGGUUAUUUUAAAUAUUGUUUAUAAUGGCAUAAGUGGGUAAUUUUGAUGAAGAUUAGGGGGUUACUUUACUUUAUUUUAUAUAAUGGCAGAGGUGGGUAAUUUAUAUAUAGAUUUAGGGGGUUACUUUAGGCUAUUUUCAUAAUGGCAUAGGUGGGUAAUUUUUUAGAAAACAUAAUAGAUCCAAUGGCUAUGAUGAUUUGAAUCUAUCGAUUGAUGGUUGGAUGUUUUGCUUUUUUGUGAGAAUUUCUAGGAUUUCUCUCUUUUUCUAGAGUGUAUAUAUAGAUUUAGGGGGUUACUUUAGGCUAUUUUCAUAAUGGCAUAGGUGGGUAAUUUUUUAGAAAACAUAAUAGAUCCAAUGGCUAUGAUGAUUUGAAUCUAUCGAUUGAUGGUUGGAUGUUUUGCUUUUUUGUGAGAAUUUCUAGGAUUUCUCUCUUUUUCUAGAGUGUCCACCUAGGAAUCCUAGGUGGCUUCACCUGGAAGCUUCAAAAGGAGC